rnacentral:rRNA from 1 species
AGGAUAAACGCUGGCGGCGUGCCUAAUGCACUGCAAGUCGAACGGAGUAGGCCUUCGGGCAUACUGAGUGGCGGACGGGUGAGGAACACGUACGAGACCUGCCCUCGGAUGGGGAAUAAGCCCUCGAAAGGGGGUCUAAUGCCGCAUACGGUCCCAAGCAGCAAGGUUUGGGAGGAAAGCUCGAGAGGGCGUCCGAGGAGGGGCGUGCGGCCGAUUAGCUAGUUGGUGGGGUAAAGGCUUACCAAGGCGACGAUCGGUAGCUGGU